rnacentral:rRNA from 1 species
GAUGAACGCUGGCGGCGUGCCUAAUACAUGCAAGUCGAGCGAACAGACGAGGAGCUUGCUCCUCUGACGUUAGCGGCGGACGGGUGAGUAACACGUGGAUAACCUCCCUAUAAGACUGGGAUAACUUCGGGACACCGGAGCUAAUACCGGAUAAUAUAUUGAACCGCAUGGUUCAAUAGUGAAAGACGGUUUUGCUGUCACUUAUAGAUGGAUCCGCGCCGCAUUAGCUAGUUGGUAAGGUAACGGCUUACCAAGGCAACGAUGCGUAGCCGACCUGAGAGGGUGAUCGGCCACACUAGAACUGAGACACGGUCCAGACUCCUACGGGAGGCAGCAGUAGGGAAUCUUCCGCAAUGGGCGAAAGCCUGACGGAGCAACGCCGCGUGAGUGAUGAAGGUCUUCGGAUCGUAAAACUCUGUUAUUAGGGAAGAACAAAUGUGUAAGUAACUAUGCACGUCUUGACGGUACCUAAUCAGAAAGCCACGGCUAACUACGUG